CGGAAAGCGAAUAAGGGUACACAGAGGAUGCCUAGGUAUCUCGUGCCGAUGAAGGACGCGUUAUACUGCGAAAAGCUUCGAUGAGGUGUAUAAGACCGCAAGAGUCGGAGGUGUCCGAAUGGGGAAACCCGGCGCGGUUCAAGCCGCGUCAUGGUUGGGGUAAGAGCCAGCCAGGGGAACCGCUCGAACUGAAACAUCUAAGUAGAGCGAGGAGAAGAGAAGAUUCUGCGAGUAGUGGCGAGCGAAAGCGGAGCAGCCCAAACCAUAGAUUACGGUUUAUGGGGUUGCAGGACUCAUAUAAGGUAUGGAAGCCGAAGUUGAACGAUCUGGGAAGGUCGGCCGAAGAGGGUGAGAGUCCCGUAGACGCAGGCGGAAGUAUUGAUGAGGAUCCUGAGUAGCACGAUACACGCUAACAUUGUGCGAAUCUGGGGGGUCCACCCUCCAAGGCUAAAUACGCGAGAUGACCGAUAGCGGAGCAGUACCGUGAGGGAAAGGUGAAAAGAACCCCGGCGAGGGGAGUGAAAGAGAAUCUGAAACUGUGUACUUACAACCGGUCGGAGGGGUAGAGAUACCCUGACGGCGUGCCUUUAGGAGAAUGAGCCAGCGAGUUAAUGUGUGUGGCGAGCUUAAGACAUAGUCAGUCGUAGGCGCAGGGAAACCGAGUCUGAAGAGGGCGCUAUAGUGGCACAUAUUAGACACGAAACCAUGCGAGCUAACCAUGGCCAGGGCGAAGUUACGGUAACGCGUAAUGGAGGUCCGCACCCACCGAUGUUACAAAAUCGGGGGAUGAGUUGUGGUUAGAGGUGAAAUGCCAAACGAGCUUGGAGAUAGCUUGUUCUCCCCGAAAUAGCUUUAGGGCUAGCGUUGCGCGAUGGGUGCCGGAGGUAGAGCACUGUAUGGGCUAGGGGGCGUCAAGCUUACUGAACCCAAACAAACUCCGAAUGCUGGUAUGCCGAGCGCGGCAGUUGGACUGCUUGAGAUGAGUUAAGCAGUCGAGAGGGAAAGAACCCGGACCCUCGUCUAAGGUCCCGGAAUGUAUGCUAAGUGUAAAACGAGGUGAGUGUGUUGAGACAGCUAGCAGGUUGGCUUAGAAGCAGCCAUCCUUUAAAGAGUGCGUAACAGCUCCCUAGUCAAACGCAAUUGCGCGGAUAAUGUAACGGGUCUUAAGCAUAUUACCGAAGGCAGGGAUAACGACAAGUUAUGGUAGGGGAGCGUUCUACGAGCGGAGAAGGUGUACUGCGAGGUGCAUUGGAGGUUGUAGGAGUGCGAAUGCUGGCAUGAGUAGCGAGAAAUAAGUGAGAACCUUAUUCGCCGGAAGUCUAAGGUUUCCGACGGAAGGUCAGUCCGCGUCGGGUUAGUCGGGCCUAAGCCGAGGCUGGGAAGCGUAGGCGAUGGACAACGGGUUAAUAUUCCCGUACCGGUAUGUGGAGGGGUUGUGGAGAGCUUGUGGUGUAGUCAGCCUCUGAGUGGAUUGAGGUUGCAAGCGGGUAGCGCCCGUGAAGCCGUGCCGCAAGGCAGGAAGUGACGAGAGCCAUGGGACGAGAAAGUCUGCAGCCCCGUAGAAGCGUGCCGCCCGUACCGCAAACCGACACAGGUAGACGAGUAGAGAAUACGAAGGCGAACGGGAG
rnacentral:rRNA from 1 species